rnacentral:rRNA from 1 species
UACGUAGGUGGCAAGCGUUUGUCCGGAAUUAUUGGGAGUAAAGCGCGCGCAGGCGGUCCUUUAAGUCUGAUGUGAAAGCCCACGGCUCAACCGUGGAGGGUCAUUGGAAACUGGGGGACUUGAGUACAGAAGAGAAGAGUGGAAUUCCACGUGUAGCGGUGAAAUGCGUAGAGAUGUGGAGGAACACCAGUGGCGAAGGCGACUCUUUGGUCUGUAACUGACGCUGAGGCGCGAAAGCGUGGGGAGCAAACAGG